GUGAGGAAUAUUGGACAAUGGAUGGAAAUCUGAUCCAGCCAUGCCGCGUGCAGGAAGACGGCCCUAUGGGUUGUAAACUGCUUUUAUACGGGAGCAAUAAGGUCUAUGCAUAGAUUGAUGAGAGUACCGUAUGAAUAAGCAUCGGCUAACUCCGUGCCAGCAGCCGCGGUAGUACGGAGGAUGCGAGCGUUAUCCGGAUUUAUUGGGUUUAAAGGGUGCGUAGGCGGCUUUGUAAGUCAGCGGUGAAAUUUUGCAGCUUAACUGUAAAAGCGCCGUUGAUACUGUGAAGCUAGGAUUUGGUUGCUGUGGGCGGAAUGUGUGGUGUAGCGGUGAAAUGCAUAGAGAUCACACAGAAUAUCGAUUGCGAAGGCAGCUCACAAAGCCAAUAUUGACGCUGAGGCACGAAAGUGUGGGGAUCAAACAGGAUUAGAUACCCGAGUAGUCC
rnacentral:rRNA from 1 species